rnacentral:rRNA from 1 species
CAUGCAGUCGAGCGGCAGCGACACAUUGACCCUUCGGGGGAUUUGUUGGGCGGCGAGCGGCGGACGGGUGAGUAAUGCCUGGGAACAUGCCUUAGUGUGGGGGAUAACCAUUGGAAACGAUGGCUAAUACCGCAUAAUCUCUACGGAGCAAAGAGGGGGACCUUCGGGCCUCUCGCGCUAAGAUUGGCCCAGGUGGGAUUAGCUAGUAGGUGGGGUAACGGCUCACCUAGGCGACGAUCCCUAGCUGGUCUGAGAGGAUGAUCAGCCACACUGGAACUGAGACACGGUCCAGACUCCUACGGGAGGCAGCAGUGGGGAAUAUUGCACAAUGGGGGAAACCCUGAUGCAGCCAUGCCGCGUGUGUGAAGAAGGCCUUCGGGUUGUAAAGCACUUUCAGCAGUGAGGAAGGCGGUAUCGUUUAAAUAGCGGUAAUCGUUUUGACCGUUAGCUGCAGAAGAAAGCACCGGCUAACUCCGUGCCAGCAGCCGCGGUAAUACGGAGGGGUGCGAGCGGUUAAUCGGAAUUACUGGGGCGUAAAGGCGCCAUGCAGGCCGCUUGUUAGCCAGAUGUGAAAGCCCGGGGCUCAACCUCGGAUCGCAUUGGAACUGGCAG